UACAGAGGGUGCGAGCGUUGUCCGGAAUUACUGGGCGUAAAGGGCUCGUAGGCGGCCAACUAAGUCAGACGUGAAAUCCCUCAGCUUAACUGGGGAACUGCGUCUGAUACUGGAUGGCUUGGAUUCGGGAGAGGAAUGCGGAAUUCCAGGUGUAGCGGUGAAAUGCGUAGAUAUCUGGAGGAACACCGGUGGCGAAGGCGGCAUUCUGGACCGAUAUUGACGCUGAGGAGCGAAAGCCAGGGGAGCAAACGGG
rnacentral:rRNA from 1 species